GCCCUCAAUUCGGCAGCACAUAUACUAAAACUGGAACGAUACAGAGAAGAUUAGCAUGGCCCCUGUGCAAGGAUGACACACAAACUCGUGAAACGAGAGGGGAGUGG